GGGCGGUUAGCUCAGCGGUAGAGCACUGCUUUCACACGGCAGGGGUCACAGGUUCAAAUCCUGUACCGCCCA
rnacentral:tRNA from 1 species